rnacentral:misc_RNA from 1 species
GGAAUGGCUUCAAAUCUUCUACCAUAAAUGUCACAGAUCUUAUCUUCAAUACACGCCAGCUGCUGGGCAAUCUUACUUUUGGAAGUGAAAUUGCGGGACGACCAAACUAAUUUUGUGAUAGGUGGUUUCCUUUUCUUCUUCCGUUGGGAAUCCAUGAAAAGGCCAACAACAUUCUCGGCCGAGCGACAAACAUCACCGAGUUCCUCCAUCCAUGCCAUUCCGACUUCAUUUAGUUCUUGUGAUUCAGACUCCUGUAGAAAAUCCUGCAAUGAUCUGAAUUUUUCUCUUAAGCACCAGGCUUGCCUUUGCACCGAGGGGCUAAGCUCUUUCCGAGUGGCUAAGGCAUCCAACAAACGUACAAUAGGAGAAAUACCUAUGUCAUAUGGGCCUACAGAUUUAACCCAGCUAAGAGAUAGUAUACAAGGAAUAUCACUGUCAUACGGGUCUACAGACUCGUGCCAGACAAGAGAUUGGAAACAAGAACGAUCAUUAACAAUAUUCCGGUGACGAUAUUCCAGAAUAUCAAUAUGCAUCUUGAAAAUCUUAAUCAACUGUUCCAGUUUCAUACGAAGUCUAUAAUGAUGUAGCAAAUCGACAAGAGCCAGAUUAUGAAAGAAAUACACCGGCAGAUCAACUGAAGCGAAAACAUACCGAAUGAAAUCAUCUCUUUUCCUUCUCUGGGCUGAACUGAUGAUUAACUCAUCAAUCACAACUUCAAGAUCUUGAAUAAUCUCUGUCAGUGGCUUCUUGUUAUUCACAUAUUCAGAAUCAUCAGCAAAUGUUCUCAAUUGGGCUUCGAUGCGAAGAAUUUGAUCUUCUACUCCAAGCAGUGAAUCUAACUGUUGAAUAAGAAGAUUGGAAAUUUUCUCCAACACAGCCAAUAAGAUUUGUCUCGCCAUUUGCCUUUGAUUCUUUGAUUCCUCUCGCUUAAUGCUAUGGAAGUUCCUGGAACUUCAACUUGGAACUAGAUACUUAAAACAACUGUAGUGCACGGAGGUCUCAAGUGAAGUAAUGGACAGCAACAUGCACGUAAAAUUCACUAUUUUUUUUCCUUU